GCAGUGAUGGUUCAGUGGUAGAAUUCACACCUUCCAUGUGAAAAACCCAGGUUCGAAUCCCAGCCACUCUA
rnacentral:tRNA from 1 species